rnacentral:lncRNA from 1 species
UUGCUGCCCCUGAAUUGGUAAUUUUGAGGAAAUUUUGCUGUUUUUUUGUUAUUAUCUUGAAUAUUAUUAUAGAUAGAGAUAAACUGUAAACAGCAAUAAUGUACAGCAAAGUAAGAACUAAAAAUAAGUCAGUCUGACCAAAAUAGUCAAUUGACCCCCAAAGGAGUUAUUGCCCUUCAUAGUCCAUUUUUAACAAUUUUCUUAAAAUUUGAAGAUUUUCAAUAACAUUUUCCACAGAAAGUACUGUUAUAGAUAGAGAUAAUUGUAAGCAGCAAGAAUGUUUAGUAAAGUAAGAUCUACAAACACAUCACCAUCACCAAAACACAAUUUUGUCAUGAAUCCAUCUGUGUCCAUUGUUUAAUAUUCACAUAGACCAAGGUGAGCGACACAGGCUCUUUAUAGCCUCUAGUU